UACGAAGGGGGCUAGCGUUGUUCGGAAUUACUGGGCGUAAAGGGCGCGUAGGCGGCCUCGUCCGUCCGGCGUGAAAUGCCUGGGCUCAACCUAGGAAUUGCGCUCGAUACAGCGAGGCUAGAGUGUGGGAGAGGUUGGUGGAAUUCCCAGUGUAGAGGUGAAAUUCGUAGAUAUUGGGAAGAACACCGGUGGCGAAGGCGGCCAACUGGACACAUAUUGACGCUGAGGUGCGAAAGCGUGGGGAGCAAACAAG
rnacentral:rRNA from 1 species